GCGGGUCGGUAGCACGUGUGCUUGGUGUGUGGCCGCGUUCUGUCCCUUUUCUCCCUUCCAGCCCUCGUAGGUGCAUCACCACGCGUUACAUGGUUCGUUAGGGGAUGUCGUCGUGGGCCGGGACCCGGGCGGGCAGCGGCCGCCGCCUCGGCCGGCACCGGCAGUUCCGCCUCUGGCGCCUCCGCCGCCGCAGGGCCCUCCUGCGCCGCCCCCAACUCUCCCGCCACAGCCUCUCGGGCCAGCACCACCACCCCUCCGCCCGGACGACGGAGUGGGUGCACCACUUCGCCGACGACGUCCCCGAGCCCCAGUUGGGGCGGCACGUGCUCCAGCGGCUGCUCCGGCGCGAGCGGCCCCAGCACGGCCUGCCACCCCUCCGUCGCCGCGAGGGCCGCCAGAAGCAGCCGCCCUUCGAGGAGCCUCCGGAGCUAGCGGAGUACCGGCAGGUGUAGAGGCCGCUCGAGCACGGGUAGGAGUUCUUCCGGCCGCGGGAGACCGAGACUAGCCUGGGAAGGAAGGAAAGGAAUCAAAGGAAAGCAGUCUUCUGCCACGGCGCCAAAUUAGGACCGGCAGCCUAGCUUCAAAUGUGGCGCCGGCUAAAUGAGAUCCUAAAACCCAAAGAAAUUACCACACGAUUAAAAAAAGAGUUUUUUAUAUAAAUAUACUCUUUUUUUCUUUGUCUGUCGAUCGCNNNNNCUAAAACCAUUCAUUAAAUAAAGCAGACCAGUACCCGUACACUUACUCAUGCCUUCUUCUCGCAAACAGCAAAGAUAAAGGCUCAAUUACUCUUAGUCUACGAAGAAUGCCUUUAGAAGUGGACGCCGGACUUUAAAGUAAGAGGCAAAAAAGUCAAUUGUUCAAUCCGCAGAUCGAAAGCAACCAUGUGCCUGCGAACUAAGUUCAGUACCAACCAACAACUGUUCUAAAUAUCCACCUACAAUGACGUAUGUCCACCGUACCGAUUGGAUACAGUUAUCCCAUAAGUACACACAUGUCAUGUCGAUGGCUAAGGUAAGGUCAGGUUGACAAAGUCACAAAUCAACGCCUAAUGAUUAUUUG
rnacentral:rRNA from 1 species